GUGCGUGGGCGCGGGCGGGGAAUAAGCUUUACGGAAGUGAAUGUAACAGAAGUCAUAUGACCAGGCACCAGCUGGAGAAAAUGCUCCCCUGGCAUGGAUAGAGGGCCCUAGACACAGUGACUAACAUUUACAAGCAGCUAAUAAAGACCGUGUUAGGACUCGUUGAACAUCUGUGGUGAGUUCUGACCGGACGGACACGCGUUGUGAUCAUCUGCUGUCGGUACCAGAUGCUUUCCAUCAGUUAGCAUUUGAGCUAGCAACAUAGAGCCACGAUGGAUGAAAUUAAAGUGUCUCCUGAUUAUAACUGGUUCAGAAGCACAGUGCCCCUGAAAAGAAUUAUUGUUGAUGAUGAUGACAGUAAGGUGUGGUCGUUAUAUGAUGCUGGCCCAAAGAGCAUCAGAUGUCCCAUCAUCUUUCUUCCUCCGGUCAGCGGGACGGCUGAGGUGUUCUUCCAACAGGUGCUCGCACUGACAGGCUGGGGCUACAGAGUCAUCUCGCUGCAAUAUCCAGUGUACUGGGACCUCAUGGAGUUCUGUGAUGGCUUCAGAAAGCUUCUGGAUCAUCUGCACCUGGAUAAAGUCCAUCUGUUCGGAGCAUCUCUGGGUGGAUUCUUGGCUCAGAAGUUUGCUGAAUGCACACACAAGUCUCCUCGAGUGCACUCUCUGAUACUGUGUAAUUCAUUCAGUGACACCUCCAUCUUUAACCAGACGUGGACAGCAAACAGCUUCUGGUUGAUGCCAGCUUUUUUGUUGAAGAAGAUUGUCCUGGGGAACUUUGCUAAAGGACCUGUUGACCCUAAAAUGGCAGAUGCAAUUGAUUUCAUGGUAGACAGGUUGGAGAGUCUGAACCAAAGUGAGUUAGCAUCGCGACUGACACUCAACUGCCAGAACUCUUAUGUGGAACCGCACAAAAUAAAAGAUGUAGCUGUGACCAUUAUAGAUGUGUUUGACCAGAGUGCUCUGUCACUGGAGGCCAAGGAGGAGAUGUAUAAACUGUAUCCUAAUGCUAGAAGAGCUCAUCUGAAAACAGGAGGAAACUUCCCGUACCUGUGCAGGAGUGCGGAAGUCAACCUUUACGUACAGGAUUCCAGGAGGGCUUCACUGUUGACAAGUUCUGCAGAUUCUGUUUGGCAAACAGUAGUGACAUUCAAAAACACGAGGUACGUUCUGGAUUCUUUCAGCUCAGAGACAAAGACUCCCAUGACAGGAAGGUGCAGGAGGUGCGAAAGGGCCCAGACUUGAGUAGAACUUGCGGUGUGAAAAGAGCAUGUCCUUUAACUGAGAAUCUCAUGCACUUUCAUGCAGUGACUGGUUACCCUCCUGACAUCCUACAUGAUCUCUUGGAAGGUAUUGUUCCAAUUGAAUUGUGUCUGUGUCUUAAAGGCCUUAUAGGUACUUUGAUUACACAUUUACUGACAGAACAAACUGACCUCAGGUGAUAGGAAAGGGAUUUUCUGCCAAAGGGACCAAUUGGUGGAAAUGCCCAUGAGAACUGGUGUCUCAUGAGACUCCUUCCUUUUCUUAUUGGUCACUGUAUCCCUGAGGGUGACCGCACAUGGGAAAUUCUCAUGCUUCUCAAAGAUAUUAUUGAGUUAGCUGUGACACCAAGGCACACUGAAGAGACACUGCAUUCCUGGACUUUAAGAUAACAGAGCACCGACAACUGCUGCAGUCCACAUUUCCAGAUUUCGUUUAAGACCAAAGCAUCACUACCUAGAGCAUUAUCCUCAGCUUGUGAGGAAAUUUGGUCCCCUGACUGAGGUUUGGACAAUGCACUUCGAGGGGAAGCAUAAAUUCUUUAAAAGGCAAUCCGCAAUGCGCAAAAUUUCAAAAAUUGUUUCCAUGACACUUGCUACCAAACACCAGAGGGCAGUGAGCUACCAUUUUGACUGUAGCUCAUAUUUCAGACCAUCAGUUGAGUUGACAAAGGCAACACCAGUUUUGCUUGCCUCUUUCCCUCUGAGCAUUCAGAGAGAAAUUGCUCAGAACAUCACAAAGCCAGGGCUAGUUCUUGAUGCAUCAUCUGUCAGUGUAGAUGGAAUCAAGUAUCAUCCAGGCAUGAUUCUCUCUUCUGGCUCAUGCUCAGUACUCCCUGAAUUUGCUCAGAUUGAAAACAUUGUUACAGUUCACACAGAAAUUUUGUUUGUCACAAAAUGACAGCAUGGUACACUGAGCAUUUGAGAUCUUACCAACUGCUCUAUGACAGUGUUCCCUCUAUGGCUGUGUUUAAGAUGUCAGAGUUGAAUGAUGUGCUUCCAUUAUCUGCAUACAGGGUACAAGGUGAACUCAUGGUAACACUAAGGCGAUUUGUUAUUUGCUAAAUAUCUGUAAUUUUUUCCCAGAUGACUGCGCAACAGUAGCUGACGAUGAGGAUUAUUGUCACUGAGUCAGAUAUCAGAAAGAUGACAAUGACAACAAGACCUGACACUGUUGAAGAUUUGAUUGACUGGCUCUAAAGUUCACUCCAAGCAAACUACAGCUUCACCUUGCAGUACCAAGAUCCUGAUUUUAGCAACAAGCUGUGUAACCUGACAGAUCUCUCGAGCUCCCAGAUAAACCAACAAUCAAAAUCAUCCCUACAGGUACAUUUGUACCUGUCACUGCACCAACUACAGCAUGUGGGUGUGCCAGACACUGCUCCGACUGAAACAUGUAGUGAUCAGGCAUGAACUAACCGUGAUGUCACCCGUUGGUUUCAACGCCGAGAAAAUAAAGCCCAGAUUUUGCUACUUCCUGUCACCAUUUUGGAUUUUUUGGAGUCAGUGACGUAAAAAGCGUCAUCAAACAGGCUGGACUGGAGAGCAACUCGGGGCAGGACCAGUCAAUGGGACUGUCAAUCAAGUAUAGCCACGCCCCUGGCUCUGCCAACUUUAACGAUUUAUUUAAAAUUCAGUAUUGAUUUAUUUUAAGAUUGGCCACCUGGGCCAAGGACGGAGCACAUCUCCAAGUGACAAAAGAGCUGAAACAUGAUAUCCUCGAGAAACUGGCUGAGGUGAUCUAUGCAUAUGAUGCAUACCCAUCAAAGCAAGACUUUGAAGCUGUGCGAAAGCCUUAGUGCACACCCACCCAUGUCUCAAAGAAGCAGGCUCAUCCUCUGGCUGGGAAGGAUGGAAGAACAGUCUGAAAUUCAAGAUGAGUAACUACAGAAACAAAAUGCGCCUUCUGGGUCAGCGUGAAGUCACUGUUAAUGCUGGUAGACGUGGAAGAUACUCAGAUGGUGGGCCUCCCAACAAAGACAUCAAAAAGCCAAGGAAAGGGGAGAUCAAUUUUCUACCUGAAAAUCCGGAGGGGAUGGAUGACCACAGCCUGGAAGCAUCGCAUCAGUUUCUUGCCAAUGAAAUGAUGAAGAGGAAGCCUAAUGUAUCCCUCACUAAGAAAGAGGUGGACAAGACGUUUGUUCUUUGGAGAAAAGAAGUUGUUGAAGACAAGUUUGAGAUCAGCCAGAUGGUACAUCGAUGGCCAGCUCUUUUCACAGAAAGCCAGGUUAACUGUGAGUUCAACAGAGUGGUGGGAAAAAAGUCUUAAAGACAACUUCUUUGAUGCGCUUGACAGUUUCUCUCCAAACCUAAUGGACCUCUUUAGAAGAAAGAAAGCGGUCUCCGGCCAAUUUCUGUCUGAACGUUUACGUCAAACAAAGACCACUGAGCCAACCGACAUCUUCAGGGAGCCAUCCUUUGUCUUCGGGGACUUCCAGUCCUCUUAGGGGAUGAGCCUUCUGCUUUCUUCAAGUCCUGCACUGAUGUGACCAACAAGGAUGUGUACAGUCAAACUCCACUGGGAAUCCUCUGUGUUGCUGAAGAAAAUCCUCAGCUCAACCCAUUCAGUGUGGCAAUCACCUUGGAGGGGAACGUGGUAAUGGAUGAACCAGCCAGUCUGCCUGAGGCCUUCUGUGUCCUUUUCAAGCUCAUUUAUGCCCUACAUCUGGACUACCCUAAGUGCAUGAAACACACUUUCCACUUUGUUCAGCAGGUAAUGUUAAACCUGGGUAGAGGGGAGCUGGCACCCAAAAUACAGACUUUGAAAAAUCAACUUGCAGUUUGAAACAGGGUCUGAAAAGUAAGCUACUGUUCCAUGUAGCAAGCAUUUUGUUACAUUUUUGGAAAUGUUUGCAAGUUUGCACUGUUUUUACCUUUUAAGCGGGAGCGCCCGUUGUUGUUCAAUAUAUUGAAUGUGAUAAUGUUUCUAUGCUUUGUUGUCAGCCUGUUUCUGACAAAUGUGACUUUAUAAUCUGGAAUACUAUUGCAUUUUUAUCUUUCAAAAACCAGCUCUGACUUAUGUUGAAAAAUUUUAAAGAAAAUUUUGAGAAAACACAAACAAAAAAUCUGAAAUGUAAACCAGAAAUCUAUCCACAUUUGCAAUAAAAAAAAAAAAAGUUUUGUGACAAAAAGUUUAAUCUGAGAAGAGCGUUAUGCAGACCAGAAUUUAUCAGUGUUGCAUAAACUGUAAAGGUUUGUUUUGAUUGUGAGAUUUUGACUGUUCACAUUCUUGAGAACCAAAAAGUGCACUUGUUCGACAUCAGACCAUUCUGCUCGACUUUCAUAUUUCAUGUGCAAAAAAUUUCUUAGGUAAAUUUGUGGCCAAUGUUUAGCCUCAGUUUUAUAAAGAGUUUUUUUUAAGAAGUUGAUUUGCAUUCAGUGUUAAUAAAAGUGUUAAUGGUU